UACGUAGGGGGCAAGCGUUGUCCGGAAUCAUUGGGCGUAAAGAGCGCGUAGGCGGCCCUGUAAGUCCGCUGUGAAAGUCAAGGGCUCAACCCUUGGCUGCCGGUGGAUACUGCAGGGCUAGAGUCCGGAAGAGGAGAGUGGAAUUCCUGGUGUAGCGGUGAAAUGCGCAGAUAUCAGGAAGAACACCCGUGGCGAAGGCGGCUCUCUGGGACGGUACUGACGCUGAGACGCGAAAGCGUGGGGAGCGAACAGG
rnacentral:rRNA from 1 species